rnacentral:rRNA from 1 species
CCUACGGGAGGCAGCAGUGAGGAAUAUUGGUCAAUGGACGAGAGUCUGAACCAGCCAAGUCGCGUGAAGGAUGACUGCCCUAUGGGUUGUAAACUUCUUUUAUAUGGGAAUAAAAUGUUCCACGUGUGGGAUUUUGUAUGUACCAUAUGAAUAAGGCUCGGCUAACUCCGUGCCAGCAGCCGCGGUAAUACGGAGGAUCCGAGCGUUAUCCGGAUUUAUUGGGUGUAAAGGGAGCGUAGGUGGAUUGUUAAGUCAGUUGUGAAAGUUUGCGGCUCAACCGUAAAAGUGCAGUUGAAACUGGCAGUCUUGAGUACAGUAGAGGUGGGUGGAAUUCGUGGUGUAGCGGUGAAAUGCUUAGAUAUCACGAAGAAUUCCGAUUGCGAAGGCAGUUCACUGGACUGCAACUGACACUGAGGCUCGAAAGUGUGGGUAUCAAACAGGAUUAGAUACCCCGGUAGUC